rnacentral:pre_miRNA from 1 species
GAUGUACUCCCGCCGUCUCAUAGUAAGUGAUUUUCUAUUAUACAUGUAUUUAAACAUAUUUUAGUAUAUAGAUACAUCCAUAUUUAGACAAAUGUGAAUCACUUAAUAUGGGAAGGAGGGAGUACUCA